CAGAGGACCGUUCGACCAUACUCCACCGCUGCUCACCGUUCGACCAUACUCUCAGGACAAGCUGCUCACGAAGGUGCCCAAGUACAAGCAGACCAUCUUCUCCGUCCUCCCCUAGGAAACCUAUCAGUCGAACAAGGAGAACCGUUCCAAAGUUAAGUUCCAUCAGAAAACUGGUUCUCGCCCCUACAUUUCCCAUGUGCAUGCUUUGAAAGAGGCUCGUAAGGGUGAAGAGUUGACUGCAUUUGAUCUAUUCAAGGAGUGCCACAAUGGCAAGAAGACUGGUUUCUCUGAGCCAGUUAAGAAGGCGAUAGUAAGUUUCUAGUAUUCUUUUUCGUGUUGAUGAGGCUUGUUUACCUCAUCCUUGUUACACUUGAUUACAUUAUAUGACUUCUGCUUGACGGAUUUGAUAGAGAUGGUUUUUUCAAAGUAGUACCAUAUAUGAUUCAUGUUUUGUUAUAGUUUGUUUGUACCAGUCCUCUGUUUCAUUGCAUUGCAUAUUCAUUUUGGUACUGGAAAUGCGA